GGCAGUGUAGCACAGUGGGUAAGGAGGGCUCGUAACCGAAAGGUCAUAGGUUCGAUUCCUGGGGAGGACACUGCCG
rnacentral:tRNA from 1 species